rnacentral:rRNA from 1 species
AUGCCUCUCGAGCGCUUCUACUUGGUCGCUCUGCUCCUUCUCCUCGUGGCUGCUGGCCGAGGUCUCACGGCCACCGUCGGCGCCGACGACGGUCGGCAGUUCGCCUACAAUGGCUUUGCGGGCAGGGGCCUCGACCUCGACGGCGCGGCCGAGGUCACGCCCAACGGCCUCCUCAUGCUGACCAACGGCACCAUCCAGCAGAAAGGCCACGCCUUCCACCCGUCCCCGGUGCCGCUCCGCGCCGCGCGCUCCUUCUCCACGGCCUUCGUCUUCGCCAUCUUCGGGCAGUACAUCGACCUCAGCAGCCCCGGCAUGGCCUUCUUCGUCACCACGUCCAAGGAGGUGCUCGCCACCGCGCUGCCGGGCCAGUUCCUCGGCCUCCUCAACGCCACCAACAACACCAACCCCAACGCCCACAUCUUCGCCGUGGAGCUCGACACCCUCCUCAACUCCGAGUGCCGCGACAUGAACAGCAACCACGUCGGCGUCGACCUCGACAGCAUGGUGUCGCGAGCUUCCGCCGACGCCGGUUACUACGACGACGCCACGGGCCGGUUUCAGAACCUGAGCCUGAUCAGCAGGCAGGCCAUGCAGGUGUGGGUGGACUACGAUGGCGCGGCCACGGAGAUCACGGUCACCAUGGCUCCCCUGGGCGUCGCCAGGCCCAAGACGCCCCUGCUGCGGACCGCCGUGAACCUCUCGGCCGUGGUGCAGCACCAGGACACGGCGUACGUCGGGUUCUCGUCGGCCACCGGAAUCCUCUUCGCACGCCACUUCGUCGUCGGCUGGAGCUUCGCGCUGGACGGGCCGGCGCCGACGCUGAACAUCUCCUACUUGCCCGCCCUGCCCCCCACCGGGCCCAAGCCACGGUCCAGGGUGCUGGAGAUCGUGCUGCCCAUAGCGUCGGCGACGGUGGUUCUGGCCGUCGGCAUCGCCGCUUACAUCUUGGUCCGACGGCGACUCAGGUACGCGGAGGUCCGGGAGGACUGGGAGGUCGCCUUCGGGCCACAGCCCUUCUCCUACAAGGACCUGUACCAGGCGACCAAGGGCUUCAGCGAGACCAACCUCCUCGGGGCGGGAGGUUUUGGAAGCGUCUACAAGGGCGUGCUCCGCAAGCCCGACAUGGACACGGAGGUGGCCGUGAAGCGGGUGUCGCACCAGUCGAGGCAAGGGAUGAAGGGGUUCAUCGCCGAGGUCGCGAGCAUGCGCCGGCUGCACCACCGCAACCUCGUGCAGCUGCUCGGCUAUUGCCGGCGAAAGGGCGAACUUCUCUUGGUCUACGAUCACAUGCCAAAUGGUAGCCUCGACAAAUACCUACACGAUCCCAGGCCUGGCAAGGCUACAUUGGAGUGGCCUCAGAGGUUGCACAUCAUCAGGGGAGUCGCUUCCGGGUUAUCUUACCUCCAUGAGGGUUGGGAGCAAAUCGUCAUCCAUCGAGACGUCAAGGCAAGCAACGUGCUCUUGGAUGGCGAGAUGAACGGGCAGCUAGGGGAUUUCGGCCUAGCAAGGCUCUACGACCAUGGGUCUGAUGCGCGGACCACGCACGUGGUCGGCACCAUGGGCUACCUAGCCCCUGAACUAGGCCACACCGGCAAGGCAACCCCAUCUACCGAUGUCUUUGCCUUCGGUGCGUUCCUCCUGGAGGUCACCUGCGGGCGGAGGCCGAUCGAGGAAGACGGCGGGAACAACCGCGUCAUGCUCGUCGACUGGGUUGCCGAACAUUGGCGUAACGGUUGCAUCACUAAGGCGGCAGACAUUAGGAUGCCAAACAACUUUAGUCUUGAGGAGGUCUCUCUAGUGCUGAAACUCGGGCUUCUAUGCUCCCAUCCUUUGUCCAAUGCAAGGCCAACCAUGCGACAAAUCAUGCAGUACCUCGACGGCGACAUGCCCCUCCCGGAAUUUUCGUCAGAGUACCUCGGCUCAGCCAUGUUGGAGCUGAUGUACAGUGCAGAGUUUUUUAACAAAAAUGUAAUGCCAUAUGUGUCAGCGGGUGUCAUCUCUGAUCUCUCCGGAGGAAGGUGA